rnacentral:rRNA from 1 species
UAACGGCUUACCAAGGCGACGAUCAGUAGCCGACCUGAGAGGGUGAUCGGCCACAUUGGAACUGAGACACGGUCCAAACUCCUACGGGAGGCAGCAGUGGGGGAUAUUGCACAAUGGGCGAAAGCCUGAUGCAGCAACGCCGCGUGAGUGAUGAAGGCCUUCGGGUCGUAAAACUCUGUCCUCAAGGAAGAUAAUGACGGUACUU